CCUCCCUCCCAGACCCUCCCACCUCCUGGACAGCAUCCAUUUUGAAGCUGCAUUCUUAGUGAACUGUCCAGGAGGUGGAAGGGUAUGGGAGGCAGGGUCUGCUGCUGAUUGGCUGGAAUGUGUCUGCUGACUGUGAGGUACAGGGUCAAAGUUUACUCAAUGAUGAGUCCGUGACGAACCAUUCGUGGCGAACCAUUUGCGAACCGUUCGGCGAACCGUUUGGGACAUCACUAUUCAAUAUCCAACCAGUACAAAUUCAUUACCACCUGAACAUGAGCCCUGAAUUUAACACAAUGACAUGGAAUGAUUGGUUUAUGUACAGUGCUGCGUGAAUUUGUUUGCGCUUUAUAAAUAAUAAUAAUAUGUAAGUUUUGCAUAGAAUGUUAAAAAAAAUGAAACAUUUUUGAACAGUAAAUGUGUAUAUUGUC